CCUACGGGGAGCUGCAGUGGGGGAUAUUGCACAAUGGGGGGAACCCUGAUGCAGCGACGCCGCGUGUGGGAAGACGGUCCUCUGGAUUGUCAACCACUGUCCCCAGGGACGAAAAUGACGGUACCUGGGGAGGAAGCUCCGGCUAACUACGUGACAGCAGCCGCAGUAAUACGUAGGGAGGGAGCGUUGUCCGGAAUUACGGGGUGUAAGGGGAGCGUAGGCGGGGAUGCAAGUUGGGUGUAAAAACUACCGGCUAAACUGGUAGUCGCACUCAAAACUGCAGCUCUUGAGGGAAGUAGAGGCAGGCGGAAUUCCUAGUGUAGCGGUGGAAUGCGUAGAUAUUAGGAGGAACACCAGUGGCGAAGGCGGCCUGCUGGGCUUUUACUGACGCUGAGGCUCGAAAGUGUGGGGAGCAAACAGGAGUAGAUACCCCGGUAGUC
rnacentral:rRNA from 1 species